rnacentral:sRNA from 1 species
UCAUCAAACAGGACAGCUGUCUCUUAGUACCAAAAAAGGAAAAGGUAAAACUGAACAGUUCCUGGGAGGGGUUGUGUACACCUGUAAUCCCAACAUGGAGGAUCAGGAGUUCAAGGCUUCAUGAGAUCCUCUCUAAUAAGUAGGAAAGAAAGAAAUGGAACAAAGUAAUAGUAGCGAUGUAUUCCCCCUCCAAAUAACUGCUAAACUCCUACUGUGUGCUGGGGACUACUCAUAGCCCCAGGGGUUCCACAGUGUACAGAACAGACUCCCCCUGUUCUUAGAACGGUGUAGAUUAAGCAAUAGCCCAGCUGUGGAUGGUGCAGAGAGGGGCAGGGGUAACCCCCACAGGACAGGCGAGCACCAGCUCAGGUACAGAGCUCUGGGGCUAAGUCUCCAGGGAAGGAGACCUUCGACUUGAGCAGGACACUCCUUAUGAAAGCGGAAACCCUCAAGGCUCUGAGCAAGUGCCUGGUCAGGAAGGUCCCUGAGGAAGUGACGUAUGCGUGCUGACUGGGAAGGGGGCAGAUCUGUAGGCCACUAGAGGAAGAACCUUCCCAGAAGGGGCAAAGCUGGGGCAGAGGCAGGAAGACAGUCGCCACUCCUGGGAGCGGGUGGCCAGUGGGAACGCCCCUUGGCCUUGGGUUUCUCCUCUUCGAAGAGGGAGCAAGGGCCUUCCAGGCAGGCAUCAGGAAAUAUCUCGGAAGCUGCUGGGAUCCCCCAGGGCCAUGCACCUUUCCCCUGGCCGCCAGGGCCCCAGCUGCCCCAGUCUGACCAAAUGGCAGGUGCGUGGGAAUGGUGCGCCUGUGGCUCACUGCUUUCCAAGGAACCCCAUUUCCCCGUGUUGGGGGGAUGGAGCUGAUGUUCCUCUCUCCUCAUGGUGGUCAGCCUCUCUGAAGCCCCAUGCUUCUCUGCAGUGGAAGAGGAUGGUGUGGGUGGAGCAGACCCGGCUCUCUCAGGAGGAAAUGCUGCUCUGUCUCCUUUACAAAAGGAGGAACUGAGGCCACAGCGAGGCGGGUUCUGGCUCUGGCCAGGCGCUCACGCAGAACUGGGCAUUGGGCCGAGCCCUUUGACCCCAGCUGCUUCGCCUGGUUCUCUCAGCAGACAAGGUUUCUCUCUGUGGUGCCAGACAUCCUGGAUCGUUCUCUCUCUGUAGACCAGGCUGACCUUGAACUCGGAGAUUUCGCCUGCCCACCACCAGCAGGUUUAUUUUCUCUUGCCUCGACUUCCUGAGUGCUGGGACCCAGGCACGAGCCACCACACCUGCGUUACCAGGUGCCUUUUGGUUAUGUAACCGUAAAUAACCCAAGGUAGCCUUGAACUCCUAGCACUCAUCCUGCUUCAGCCUCCAGAGUGCUGGGAUACCGAGGUGUCGGCCAGCAUUCCCAGCUAAGUUGCACGUUUUUCUACCUGGAUAGUCCAAGGAAGCUGGGGAAAGCCUCACUCUCCACCCAUCCCGGAGCUUGUU